rnacentral:rRNA from 1 species
CCAAGAAUAUUAGUCAAUGCUCUAAAGAGUGAACUAGCUAACUGGAAUCAUGAGUGUGUCACUUAUGACUUAUAUAAUAUAAUAAUGAUAAUCUUUAUAAUAAGAAGUGUUGUCCAAAUACUGGUGCCAGAAGACUCGGUAAGGCCAGAGACGCAAGCGUUAAUCAUCUUGAUCAGGCGUAAAGGGUUUGUAGGCAGCUUUAAUAGUAAUUUAAUUACAACUAUAAUAAAAAAAAAUAUUUAACUUACACUAAAAAUAAAGCUAGAAUCAAAUAGAAGUGCAGAGAAUUCCUAGAGUAGGGUUGAUAUCUGAAUAUCUUAGGAAGAAUACUAAUUAGCGAAGGCAUUUCACUAUCUACUGAUUGACGCUGAGAAACGAAAGGGAGAAUAGAAAACAGGAUUAGAGACCCUAUUAUUCCUCUCUGUAAACGAUGAAUGGUAAUUGCUAGUUAAUAAUAUUAGUGAUGAUGCUAACGCGUUAACCAUUCCGCCUUGUGAGUAUGACUGCAAAGUUGAAAACAAAAAAAUUAGUCGGUUUCGGAGCAA